CGUUAAGUCAGAUGUGAAAGACCCGGGCGUUAACCUCGGAAUUGCAUUUGAAACUGGCAGGCUAGAGCUUGUAGAGGGGGUAGGAAGUUUCAGGUGUAGCGGUGAAAUAGCGUAGAGAUCUGAAGGAAUACCAGUGGCGAAGGCGGCCCCCUCGGACAAAGACUGACGCUCAGAUGCGAAAGCGUGGGGAGCAAACAGGAUUAGAUACCCUGGUAG
rnacentral:rRNA from 1 species